UCCCUGCUGGCUCAAGUGGAAAAGCAUCUGACUGCAAUGCAGGGGACCCGGGUUCAAUCCCUGGGUCUGGAA
rnacentral:tRNA from 1 species